UUGCAGGAAAUCACAAUUUUCCAACAGAACUUAGGGAGGCUCCUCCACGUGGGACUCGUACUUCUUGGAAGAAACGUUUCCAAGCUUUCGAUUUGUCAUUUAAACUAUACGUGUCGCAUAGCAGUGAUACAUUUAAUAGAAAGUGUAAGCAACUUAAUUUGUCACAGCUCUGCCACCUUCUCGAACGCGAGAAGGGAAAAUUAUUUCAGUCUGGUCCAGGAGCGGGGGAGGGUGAAGCGGCAAGCGUUCUCCGGGAGCAACCAUGAAUCUUUUAGCGGUGCACCUUUUCACGGUAAUUGCGUGGUGCUGUGGAUAGUUAGCGUCUUCUGCCGGCGAUGGCCGUUCUUCAUUUAAUUGGCUAGUUAGGCUGACGGCCGGAAGCGGCUUCUCGAAAAAGGAUCCGACACCCUCCUCCAUCCUGGACGCAGUUCAUUGAGCGGAAGAUCGAGACUCGUGAGAAGCGUACUGCAGGCUGCUGACAGGAUCUGUCGCCGAGUUAAACGGAAUCCUUCUUCACUAUUGGGGAGUCUAACUGCGGAAGGGAUACUUUUUGUAGAUCUUCUUAGUCAUGUGUUCUAUAGGUGUGGAGGAAGAAGGUCGAUAUUCUGACCAAAAUGACGUACAUAAAUGUGUACAUAAGUAAACUUUACACCUGUGUAUAUUCAUACUGAGAAAUUUGUUUGAUAGCAUGAAACCUGUCAUUUAAUUUAGGCAAAUAUCUUCAAUACAAGAAGGUACGAAUACUUGUGAGUCAUUCUCAUAAGUAUACGUACCAUCUAUAUCAUUUGAUACAUAUAGAUGGUACGUAUACUUAUGAAAAUGACUCACAAGUAUUCCUGUCCUCUAUAUGUAUCGAAUAUGUCUCUAUGGGAGUCAGUCAGAAGAAAUUUAUCUAAAUUAAAUAACAAGUUUUACGUUAUAAUGUUUCAAUUAUAAAUAUGCACAUAAAUAAACUUUAUACUUGCA